GGGUUGGUGUAGUGUAGUGGUUUGAAUGUUGGACUGCGACCUUGGAGACCCGGGUUCAAUUCCCAGCUAAGUCA